rnacentral:rRNA from 1 species
UACGGGGGGGGUAAGCGUUGUUCGGAAUUACUGGGCGUAAAGGGCUCGUAGGCGGCCAACUAAGUCAUACGUGAAAUCCCUCAGCUUAACUGGGGAACUGCGUGUGAUACUGGAUGGCUUGGAUUUGGGAGAGGGAUGCGGAAUUCCAGGUGUAGCGGUGAAAUGCGCAGAUAUCGGGAGGAACACCAAUGGCGAAGGCAGCUCGCUGGGACGGUACUGACGCUGAGGCGCGAAAGCGUGGGGAGCAAACAGG